GUAGGGUGCGAGCGUUAAUCGGAAUUACUGGGCGUAAAGCGUGCGCAGGCGGUUAUGUAAGACAGGUGUGAAAUCCCCGGGCUUAACCUGGGAACUGCGCUUGUGACUGCAUAACUCGAGUGUGGCAGAGGGGGGUGGAAUUCCACGUGUAGCAGUGAAAUGCGUAGAGAUGUGGAGGAACACCGAUGGCGAAGGCAGCCCCCUGGGUCAACACUGACGCUCAUGCACGAAAGCGUGGGGAGCAAACAGGAUUAGAUACCCUGGUAGUCCACGCCCUAAACGAUGCGAACUAGGUGUUGGGGAAGGAGACUUUCUUAGUACCGCAGCUAACGCGUGAAGUUCGCCGCCUGGGGAGUACGGUCGCAAGAUUA
rnacentral:rRNA from 1 species